GACGGAGGGCGCAAGCGUUGUUCGGAAUUACUGGGCGUAAAGCGCGCGCAGGCGGGAAGAUAAGUCUGGAGUGAAAUUCCGGGGCUCAACUCCGGAGCUGCUUUGGAUACUGUUUUUCUAGGGACCGGUAGAGGCCGGUGGAAUUCCCGGUGUAGCGGUGGAAUGCGUAGAGAUCGGGAGGAACAUCAGUUGCGAAGGCGGCUCUCUGGACCAGCACUGACACUGAGGCGCGAAAGCUAGGGGAGCAAACAGG
rnacentral:rRNA from 1 species